CAGACCCGAACGCCGCCAGCAGCGCAUGCUCCGCCAUUGCUUACGUCGUCGUUUUCUACUGGGUUUUCAAACUCUUCGCUUAAAUCAUUCACCGCCGCAGACAUUAAAACGCCGUUCAAUCAAAAACAACACCGUAACAUUUAGAAAAAGUAGUUUUUUUUUCCCACCACAAUAGUGUCAAAAUUAACAAUAUUAAAUAAUAUAGAAUGUGCUCAUUAAUCACGAAUCGAUCGACAAGAGAAUAGUAAGAAGACAAGCGUGCUGUAUAAUGUAGAUUAUUAACAGGUUUUAUUUUUUUCGUUUCAAAUCUCCCGUAUUUAUCUCCGCGUUAAAGCAUUAUCGAAAAACAGAAAAAAGCUAUUUUUUUUUUUUUUUUUUAAUAUUAUCAAAUUUCAAGUAACGUUUUAGACGGCUGUUUGAUUUUCUCCGUAUAUUCGGCACGUACGCCGUAAUAUAGCGGUAGAGUAUAGUCGUAGCAGCGUCCGCAAAUUAUUUUAAUAACAAUAUUAUCCGCGUGUAGGCGAACAGUCAAUACAGUACGGCAAUUAUAUCGGUCGCAGUCGCGUUUUUAUUCUCUCUUGUCCGGUCCCUGUAAUACGCAAUACGUAAGACGUACGAUAGUAAAAUAUUAUCCGGUAGUGUACUAGGUAAAUAGAAAACAAAAUUAAAAAAAAAAAAACAAAACAACUAGGUAUUCGAAACCAUUGCAUAAAAUAUAUUGAACGCGCGUUUUAUUCUCACGCCGAGUAGUACGAAAUAUUAUUACGAUAAUAUAUGUAAUCCGCUAGGGAAAAACGCUUGUCUAUCGCUUGAAAUUAGAUAACAAUAUCGUAUACGCGCUAGUGAAUUUUUAUGAUAAUCGUUCGUUAAUAUUUAGUAGUGAUAACAAUAUUACAUAGUGUUCUAUCCGACUAGGGAAUAAGUAGAAUACGGAUAAAAACCGGCGCUUGAAAUAUUAGAUUUAAGAAUGCACUUUCUCACGCCCCCAUGUCAUCAUUCUAUAACGUACAAAUACCUAAACGUAGUAAAAUUAUAUUCUUUACCCAGUCAUGAACGUUUCUGGGUGGGGGGGGAG